CAUAAGGAUUGGAAGGGACAACAAGGGUAAUAUCUUUGUGCUGGAAAAAAUUGAAGAUAUAAGUCGUAAUCCUCAAGGAAGAGGCGAAACACCAAGAACCAAAGGACAAGGUGGCAGCGAUAGCGACGGUGAGGAGGCAAAGGAUGUUGGAAUGCAAAAAGGAAAACAUGGAGAAGAAGCCCUUCAUGGACAUACAAACUGAGACCAAGAGAUUCAGGCAAACAACACUUGAUUUGAUUUCCAUUUUUAGCAUUCAGCAACAAUCGUCACAAAUCAGUAACAACAGCAAGAAAAUUUCAACAAAAGCUUCAGGAAUUAAAAAAAGAGCAACAGCACAAAAUCAAUUAUUUGAUUUUUCAUUAACCCAGUCACAGUUUCACAUUCAAAAAUCAACAAGGCCACAUUCAAAAAUCAACAACAGGACAUAAAAGGAAGAGAAGAACCGAAGAAGUGAAGACAGUGCCGCUAACCUUCGACGGCGACAUGGACGGCGCCCGGCGAGAUGACAGCGAGUGGUGACACAGCGGCGAGCUGCUCCAAGUUCGAGAGAAUCCAGAGAGGACGGCGACAGGGGGAAGGAGGACGCCGAACUAUGAUAGAGGAAGCAGAGGCGCCGACAGCACGGACGGCAGCGGCACCGCGGCAGACCCGUUGCAGGGAGAACUUAGGGUUUUGGUAGGGUGAGUUGGGAAGGUGCUAUGGG